UUAAAUUAAGGUGUUCUCAACUGGCCUACCUGGUUAAAUAAAUUAAAAGGUGACUUUUAUCAAUAUAUUCGGCUUUGGAAGCAUAAGGACUUUAUUUUUCAUAUCGGCAAGAAAUAAUUUUCUAAAAAUAAAAGGUCAAAUUGAUUCACGCUUUUUUUCAUAGGUUUAGGUUUCCCACACGGUCAUAUCUCCAUGUUACAACGCUUGUUUACGGAAAACAGACACCAGAGGACUGACUGUCUUCAUGCUCUAAUGAGUUAUCUGCUUCUCUCAACACCUGUGUGGAAACGGAAGACACCAAACCUGUAGUCACUGAAAAAUACGGUCGGCUGCAAUUUAUCUCCAUCUCUUCAUUCAAAUACUCAAUCAUGGACACUUACUAACAGUUGUGGCUGCUUCACAUGAUGUAUUGUUGUCUUUACCUUCUUGCCCUUUGUGCUUUUGUCUGUGCCCAAUGUUUGUACCAUUUUGUGCUGCUUCCAUGUUGUGCUGUUGUUUUAGGUCUCUCUUUAUGUAGUGUUGUGGUGUGUCUCUUGUCAUGUGUGUUUUUGUCCUAUAUUUUUAAUCCCAGCGCCCGUCCCCGCAGGAGGCCUUUUGGUAGGCCUUAACUGACUUGCCUAGUUUAAAUAAAGGCACCAUGUUGAGUCGUCUACAGGAGCUGAAGAAGGAGGAGGAGCAUCUCUGAAGAUUAAAGUUAUGUUGCAGGACCAACUCAACAGACUCAAGUUUGAAGAAGGAGCCCUGAAGUGUAUCAUCAACGCUCAGACAGAGGAGGGUCCUUCACAACCUGCCAGUCCUCCUGAGGUUCUAAACCUGGAUAAUAAAGUAGUGAUCAACCAGACCAGGCUACUGCUGAGUGGUCCUGAAGACUACCACAUUGAGGAAGAGGAGGAUUAUUAUUGAGUUUAUAUUAGUACUGAGUGGGCCUGUCCCAAAUGGGACCCUAUUCCCUAUAUAGAGCACUAUGGGCCCUGGUCAAAUGGAACCCUAUAUAGAGCACUAUGGGCCCUGGUCACUAUAUAGGGAAUAAGGAACCCAUAGGCCUCUAGACAUACACACUGAAUGUACAAAACAUCAGGAACACCUGCUCUUUCCAUGACAGACUGACCAGGUGAAAGCUAUGAUCCUUUAUUGAUGUCACCUGUUAAAUCCACUUCAUUCAGUGUAGAUGAGGGGGA